CCUACGGGGGGCAGCAGUAGGGAAUCUUUCACAAUGGGCGAAAGCCUGAUGGAGCAACGCCGCGUGCAGGAUGAAGGCCUUCGGGUUGUAAACUGCUUUUAUAAGCGAGAAAUAUGAUGGUAACUUAUGAAUAAGGAUCGGCUAGCAACGUGCCAGAAGCGGCGGUCAUACGUAGGAUCCGAGCAUUAUCCGGAGUGACUGGGUGUAAAGAGUUGCGUAGGUGGCAUAAUAAGUAGCUAGUGAAAUCUGGUGGCUCAACCAUUCAGACUAUUAGCUAAACUGUUAAGCUCGAGACCGUUAGGGGUAACUGGAAUUUCUAGUGUAGGAGUGAAAUCCGUAGAUAUUACGAAGAACCCCGAUAGCGUAGGCAGGUUGCUGAGACGGUUCUGACACUAAGGCACGAAAGCGUAGGGAGCAAACGGGAUUAGAUACCCGAGUAGUC
rnacentral:rRNA from 1 species